rnacentral:piRNA from 1 species
UUCAGGCCAUCUGGAUGUAUACGUGCAAA